CACGUAGGGCGCAAGCGUUGUCCGGAAUUAUUGGGCGUAAAGAGCUCGUAGGCGGUCUGUUGCGUCUGCUGUGAAAACCCGGGGCUUAACCCCUGGCUUGCAGUGGAUACGGACAGACUAGAGGUAGGUAGGGGAGAAUGGAAUUCCUGGUGUAGCGGUGAAAUGCGUAGAUAUCUGGAGGAACACCGGUGGCGAAGGCGGCAUCCUGGACCAAUUCUGACGCUGAGGAGCGAAAGCCAGGGGAGCAAAGCGGG
rnacentral:rRNA from 1 species